rnacentral:rRNA from 1 species
GGGAAUAUUGCACAAUGGGGGGAAACCCUGAUGCAGCGACGCCGCGUGAACGAAGAAGUAUUUCGGUAUGUAAAGUUCUAUCAGCAGGGAAGAUAAUGACGGUACCUGACUAAGAAGCACCGGCUAAAUACGUGCCAGCAGCCGCGGUAAUACGUAUGGUGCAAGCGUUAUCCGGAUUUACUGGGUGUAAAGGGAGCGUAGACGGACUGGCAAGUCUGAUGUGAAAGGCGGGGGCUCAACCCUGGACUGCAUUGGAAACUGUUAGUCUUGAGUGCCGGAGAGGUAAGCGGAAUUCCUAGUGUAGCGGUGAAAUGCGUAGAUAUUAGGAGGAACACCAG